rnacentral:rRNA from 1 species
UAACCUGCUAAAUAGGUGCGCGAGCCUUGGCUCGUUGUGCGUUCUUAGAGGGACAAACCACGUUUAGUGGUUGGAAGUUUGAGGCAAUAACAGGUCUGUGAUGCCCUUAGAUGUUCUGGGCCGCACGCGCGCUACACUGACACAGUCAGCGAGUUCUGCCUUGACCGAGAGGUCUGGGAAAUCUUGUGAAACUGUGUCGUGCUGGGGAUAGACCAUUGCAAUUAUUGGUCUUCAACGAGGAAUUCCUAGUAAGCGCAAGUCAUCAGCUUGCGUUGAUUACGUCCCUGCCCUUUGUACACACCGCCCGUCGUU